AUACGGAAGGUCCAGGCGUUAUCCGGAUUUAUUGGGUUUAAAGGGAGCGUAGGCUGCCCCUCAAGCGUGUUGUGAAAUGUACCGGCUCAACCGGUGAAUUGCAGCGCGAACUGUGGGGCUUGAGUGUGCGGAAAGUAGGCGGAAUUCAUGGUGUAGCGGUGAAAUGCUUAGAUAUCAUGAAGAACUCCGAUUGCGAAGGCAGCUUACUGCAGCACAACUGACGCUGAGGCUCGAAAGUGCGGGUAUCGAACAGGAUUAGAUACCCUGGUAGUCCGCACGGUAAACGAUGGAUGCCCGCUGUUCGCCCAUUAGGGUGAGCGGCCAAGCGAAAGCGUUAAGCAUCCCACCUGGGGAGUACGCCGGCAACGGUGAA
rnacentral:rRNA from 1 species